GAGUGAGUGCUUGUGAGACGGAGACGAGCUCUGCACAAUUGCAGAUGGAGAGUGACAGUGAUCCUCAUGUGGCCUUGCAAAACCCUAUCGAUGGAGGAAGAAGGCCGACGAUGGAGAAGGAAGAAGAAGAGAAGCCGAAGGUGGUGGUGAUAAUGGGUCCCACUGGUUCAGGAAAAUCCAAACUGGCCAUUGAUUUAGCAUCCCACUUCCCCAUUGAAAUCAUCAACGCUGAUUCCAUGCAGGUCUACUAUGGUCUUGAUGUCCUCACCAACAAGGUCCCCCUCCAUGAUCAAAAGGGAGUUCCUCACCAUCUGCUGGGGACUGUAAGCCCAAACGCGGAAUUCACAGCUAAGAAUUUCCGGGAUUCUGCUAUUCCUCUUAUCACCGAAAUACAGUCACGCAACCACUUGCCAGUUAUUGUUGGGGGUACUAAUUACUAUAUUCAGGCUCUUGUAAGUCCAUUCCUUUUAGAUGAUACAGCAGAUGAUUUGGAUGAAAACUUUCAGAAUCAGUCUCCUGGAGAUGAGCAGACUGAUCAGGUGCCUGAGUUUGGGAGAAGCAGUUUCAAUAGCUAUGAUUAUCUUAAAGACCUUGAUCCUGUUGCAGCUAACAGAAUCCAUCCAAAUAACCAUAGAAAAAUUAAUCAGUGCCUUAAUUUGUAUGCUCGUUUUGGUAUUCUCCCUAGCAGAAUUUAUCAGGGAAAGGCCGCAGAGGUUGGUAAUCUUUAUUGUUAUUGUCCAUGUAAUUAUAAACUUCCUAUGUAAUUUCACUUUUUUAAAAAUAAAUAUAUAAUAUAAUUAUUUUAACUCGACAUCUUUGGUUUAAUUUUAUUCAAUGAUUUUGAUUUUAUUGCAAUGAAUUAUAUAUGAAUAGUUAAUUGUAUAAAUAUAAACUACAAGUAUUCUGUUUCAUAUUCAAUUGAAACUAGUUAUGAGUGAAAAUUUGCAAGUUUUAUUUCUCUUUUGUUUGUGCCUUUUUUCCCCCUCUCUCUCUCUUUCUUUUUCUUGAUGUUCUUUUCUUCUAUGUAUGGAUGUAGUUACAGAAUUUUUUCCUGGAGAGAUAAAAUUGCAACUAGUUAUGGAUGUACGUACUCUUUAUUUUGUUAACAUCAUGAGUGCGGCAGGGCAGAACUGGGGUCGCGUUGAUAAUUGUAGAUUUGAUUGCUGUUUUAUUUGUGUUGAUGCUGCUAUCCCUGUGCUGGACCAAUACGUGGGGCAAAGAGUAGACUGCAUGAUCGAUGCUGGAUUACUGGGUGAAGUUUAUGAUAUUUACAAUCCUAAUUCAGAUUAUACCCGAGGUUUGCGACAAGCCAUUGGAGUACGGGAGUUUGAGGAUUUUCUUAGAGCUUACCUUUUGGCAGGCAGGAAUGAUAAAGCAAGUGAUUCUACUAAUGAAUCUCGCUUCAUGAUGUCAGCAAACAAGGACAAAAUAUUGAAAAAUGAUAUUUGGGAGGUCCUCUAUUCCUCUGAUAACAAUGAACUCAAAGUUCUUUUAGCUGAAGCCAUUGAUAAAAUGAAAGCAAAUACCCGAAGACUUGUCCGUCGUCAAAAGAGGAUGCUUACUAGGCUUCAAACAUUGUUUGGGUGGAAUAUUCAUUAUGUUGAUGCGACAGAGUCUAUAUCAUGCAAAUCUGAUGAAUCAUGGUAUAUACAAGUGGUUGGAUCAGCAGUGGAAAUUAUCAGAUCUUUUCUGAGUGAGGAUGGGAGAUCAGUGCUUGAUUUGGGGGCUUGUGAUGGUGCUAGAAUGAAAACAAUCGAAAGGAACUUGUGGACGCAGUAUGUAUGCAAGGCUUGUGGGGAUAGAGUGCUUAGAGGAGCUCAUGAGUGGGAGCAGCACAAACAGGGCCGUGGGCAUCGAAAACGAAUUUCUCAGCUUCGGAAGCUUCAAGGGCAAGGCUUUUCUUUGGUAGAGCAGGAUUUCCAAACCAUAAAUAAUGACCAAGUUUCAGGAUCAUAGAUUUCUAGUCACAAGCUGGAAUCAUCUCAAUGAUCAGAAAGUAUUGAUUCUGUAUUGUUUUCUCUGCUGGCUGUUUUCCAGAAAUUGUGUACUGUUAUAUUUAUUUCUUUAUUUUUUUUGAAUUAGGGUAUGGGUAUUGUACUUGACAAGAUUUGAAUCCUGAGACUCACUCAGAAAGCUUCUCUUUUACCACUAGAAUGUUCAAAAAAUGUAGACUUUAAAUUCUAUUUAACAGGACAUAAUAGCUGAUGAUCUUUGUUUAACACCUAUAUUUCCAAGGAAAG
rnacentral:misc_RNA from 1 species